rnacentral:rRNA from 1 species
GGGUUUCGCCCUUAGUGUGCAUCAACGCAUAAGCGUCCGCUGGGGAGUACGUCGCAAGCUGAACUCAAGGAUGACGGGGCAGCACAAGCGGUGAGCAUGUGUUAAUUCGAAGCACCGGAGGAACCUUACAGGUCUUGACAUCUUCUGACACCCUAGAGAUAGGGUUCCCCUUCGGGGGCAGAGUGACAGGUGGGUGCAUGGUGUCGUCAGCUCGUGUCGUGAGAUGUUGGGUUAAGUCCCGCAACGAGCGCAACCCUUGAUCUUAGUUGCCAGCAUUCCAGUUGGGCACUUUAAGGUGACUGCCGGUGACAAACCGGAGGAAGGUGGGGAUGACGUCAAAUCAUCAUGCCCCUUAUGACCUGGGCUACACACGUGCUACAAUGGGCAGAACAAAGGGCAGCGAAGCCGCGAGGCUAAGCCAAUCCCACAAAUCUGUUCUCAGUUCGGAUCGCAGUCUGCAACUCGACUGCGUGAAGCUGGAAUCGCUAGUAAUCGCGGAUCAGCAUGCCGCGGUGAAUACGUUCCCGGGCCUUGUACACACCGCCCGUCACACCACGAGAGUUUGUGGACACCCGAAGUCGUUGAGGUAACCUUUUGGAGCCAGCCGCCUAGGAUGUUUACCAGGGGCG